GACGAACGCUGGCGGCGUGCUUAACACAUGCAAGUCGAACGGUAAGGCCCUUCGGGGUACACGAGUGGCGAACGGGUGAGUAACACGUGGGUGAUCUGCCCUGCACUUCGGGAUAAGCCUGGGAAACUGGGACUAAUACCGGAUAGGACCACUGCCUGCAUGGGUGGUGGUGGAAAGCUUUUGCGGUGUGGGAUGGGCCCGCGGCCUAUCAGCUUGUUGGUGGGGUGAUGGCCUACCAAGGCGACGACGGGUAGCCGGCCUGAGAGGGUGACCGGCCACACUGGGACUGAGAUACGGCCCAGACUCCUACGGGAGGCAGCGGUGGGAAAUAUUGCACAAUGGGCGCAAGCCUGAUGCAGCGACGCCGCGUGAGGGAUGACGGCCUUCGGGUUGUAAACCUCUUUCAGCACAGACGAAGCGCAAGUGACGGUAUGUGCAGAAGAAGGACCGGCCAACUACGUGCCAGCAGACGCGGUAA
rnacentral:rRNA from 1 species